rnacentral:rRNA from 1 species
UACAGAGGGUGCAAGCGUUAAUCGGAGUUACUGGGCGUAAAGGGCGCGUAGGCGGUUUAUUAAGUGAGAUGUGAAAUCCCUGGGCUUAACCUAGGAACUGCGUCUCAUACUGGUAGACUGGAGUAUGAUAGAGGACAGUGGAAUUUCCGGUGUAGCGGUGAAAUGCGUAGAUAUCGGAAGGAACAUCAGUGGCGAAGGCGACUGUCUGGAUCAAUACUGACGCUGAGGCGCGAGAGCGUGGGGAGCAAACAGG